AGUGAACGCUGGCGGUAGGCCUAACACAUGCAAGUCGAACGGCAGCACAGUAAGAUCGUGCUCUUACCGGUGGCGGGUGGCGGGCGGGUGAGGAAUACAUCGCAUUCUUCUUUUUCUGGGGGGAUUACGGAGGGAAAGUUACGCUAAUACCUCAUAUGAUCUACGGGUGAAAUCAAUGGUGCUUCGCACCUUUCGCGAUUCUAUUAGCCGGAGUCGGAUUAGCUAGUUGGCGGGGUAAAGGCCCACCAAGGCGACGAUCCGUAGCUGAUCUGAGAGGAUGAUCAGCCACACUGGAACUGAGACACGGUCCAGACUCCUACGGGAGGCAGCAGUGGGGAAUCUUCGACAAUGGGCGAAAGCCUGACGCAGCAACACCGCGUGGGUGAAGAAGGCCUUCGGGUUGUAAAGCCCUUUUGUUAGGAAAGAAAAGAAGCAGGUUAAUACCUCGCCGUUUUGACGGUACCCAAAGAGUAAGCACCGGCUAACUUCGUG
rnacentral:rRNA from 1 species